rnacentral:rRNA from 1 species
CUACGGGUCGCUCCAGUGGGGAAUAUUGCACAAUGGGGGGAACCCUGAUGCAGCAACGCCGCGUGGAGGAUGACGCAUUUCGGUGUGUAAACUCCUUUUAUAUAGGAAGAUAAUGACGGUACUAUAUGAAUAAGCACCGGCUAACUCCGUGCCAGCAGCCGCGGUAAUACGGAGGGUGCAAGCGUUACUCGGAAUCACUGGGCGUAAAGCGCGCGCAGGCGGUUUGAUAAGUUGGAUGUGAAAGCCUACGGCUCAACCGUAGAACUGCAUCCAAAACUGUCAAACUAGAGUCUGGGAGGGGAAGAUGGAAUUAGUGGUGUAGGGGUAAAAUCCGUAGAGAUCACUAGGAAUACCAAAAGCGAAGGCGAUCUUCUGGAACAGUACUGACGCUGAGGCGCGAAAGCGUGGGGAGCAAACAGGAUUAGAUACCCCCGUAGUC